rnacentral:RNase_P_RNA from 1 species
ACCGCAGACCGCCUUAUCGUCGUUCCGAUUCAUCGGAAGGGAGGAAAGUCCGGACACCAUAGAGAAGCAUAGCGGGUAACACCCGUCGGUUACGUUUUAGAACGUGAUUAGGACAAGUGCAACAGAAAGUAUGUACAGGUAAUGCUGUAGUGAAACCAGGUAAACUCUAUGUGGUGAAAUAUCAAGUAUAUCAGCAUUUAAGGGCUUCUCGUCCGUUGCUGAAGGGUAGAUAGCUUGAGUCUUGAAGUAAUUCAAGAUCUAGAUAAAUGGUAAGGUAUCGUUAGUGAUAGCGUGAACAGAAUCCGGCUUAUAGGUCUGCAUUUUUU